rnacentral:rRNA from 1 species
GUGGGGAAUCUUAGACAAUGGGCGCAAGCCUGAUCUAGCCAUGCCGCGUGAGCGAUGAAGGCCUUAGGGUUGUAAAGCUCUUUCGCUGGGGUAGAUAAUGACUGUACCCAGUAAAGAAGCCCCGGCUAACUCCGUGCCAGCAGCCGCGGUAAUACGGAGGGGGCUAGCGUUGUUCGGAAUUACUGGGCGUAAAGCGCGCGUAGGCGGAUUGGAAAGUUGGGGGUGAAAUCCCGGGGCUCAACCUCGGAACUGCCUUCAAAACUCCCAGUCUUGAGUUCGAGAGAGGUGAGUGGAAUUCCGAGUGUAGAGGUGAAAUUCGUAGAUAUUCGGAGGAACACCAGUGGCGAAGGCGGCUCACUGGCUCGAUACUGACGCUGAGGUGCGAAAGCGUGGGGAGCAAACAGGAUUAGAAACCCUGGUAGUCC